GUGAGGAAUAUUGCGCAAUGGAGGCAACUCUGACGCAGCCAUGCCGCGUGCAGGAAGAAGGCGCUACGCGUUGUAAACUGCUUUUAACCGGGAAGAAACCCCAGGACGUGUCCUGGGUUGACGGUACCGGAGGAAUAAGCACCGGCUAACUUCGUGCCAGCAGCCGCGGUAAUACGAAGGGUGCAAGCGUUAUCCGGAUUCAUUGGGUUUAAAUGGUGCGUAGGCGGAGCGUUAAGUCAGUGGUGAAAUCCUGCAGCUUAACUGUAGACUUGCCAUUGAGACUGGCGCUCUUGAGUGCGCUUGAAGUGGGCGGAAUGUGCCGUGUAGCGGUGAAAUGCUUAGAUAUGGCACAGAACACCAAUUGCGAAGGCAGCUCACUAAGGCGAUACUGACGCUGAGGCACGAAAGCGUGGGGAUCGAACAGGAUUAGAAACCCCAGUAGUCC
rnacentral:rRNA from 1 species